rnacentral:misc_RNA from 1 species
GCAAACUUGGUCAUUUAGAGGAAGUAAAAGUCGUAACAAGGUAACCGUAGGUGAACCUGCGGUUGGAUCAUUAAUGAAAUUUUUAACUGAAAGGGUUAAACCUUUCUUUUAAACAAAAUAUGUGAAUUUGUGUAUUGUCUCUUUUGGUUGAUAACUUGGCUAAGGCUUUUUUUUCGACCAAAUGUUUAUGAACUUUACUUAAAAAUUGGUUAAAGAAAAAAAGAUUGUAUUUAACAAAAACAACUUUUGACAACGGAUCUCUAGGCUCUCGCAUCGAUGAAGAACGCAGC